rnacentral:rRNA from 1 species
CGGACGGGUGAGUAACGCGUAGGAAUCUGCCUGAUAGUGGGGGAUAGCCCGAAGAAAUUCGGAUUAAUACCGCAUAAUCUAUUCGUAGUAAAGUGGGGGACUUUCGAGCCUCACGCUAUCAGAUGAGCCUGCGUAAGAUUAGCUUGUUGGUAGGGUAAAAGCCUACCAAGGCGACGAUCUUUAGCUGGUCUGAGAGGAUGAUCAGCCACAUCGGGACUGAGACACGGCCCGAACUCCUACGGGAGGCAGCAGUGGGGAAUAUUGGACAAUGGGGGCAACCCUGAUCCAGCAAUACCGCGUGUGUGAAGAAGGCCUGAGGGUUGUAAAGCACUUUCAAUUGUGAAGAAAAGUUAGCGGUUAAUAACCGUUAGCCUUGACGUUACUUUAGAAG